GAAGGCCAGGCGGGGCCCUGCUCCAGGCAAACUGUGCUUUGCACAUGGAAUCGCUGCAGAGGGACAGGAGGAGCUGCAGCUCGCAGCCCCUGUGCUUCCUGCUCCCUGGGGUGAGGGUAGCACCCACUUCAGGACACCGGAGCCCACACCUGAUUCUUCCCUGCCCUGGGCAUUUCCACCCACAGUCACCUCCAGGGGACCACAGUCUAGAUUUUCAGCUUUAAAGGAGACUUUACAGUGACCCGAAGAGACCUUGUAUCCUGAAGAAGCACAAAUAAGGCAUCUUUAAGUGCUCCUAAUUAUACAUUUUUUUUUAUUAUUUUUUUUUUUUCCCUCCUGCUUUACAUAUUUUCCUGCUUGGGAUUUUUUAUUCCCUUCCUUACUAAUUAGAGGACUAAUUUUAGAAAUUACUUUUGUCCACUCUGGAAAACUAAUAGAAAAUUAGUAAAAACGUGGUAGCAUGAAAAUGAAAGUAAGCCUGGGGAAAGGUAAUUGUUUAUAACCGAGGGGUUUUGUUAACUCCUGUGCCUAAUUAACACACUACAAAGGGGAGCCUUUGUUGGAGGCUCCACACCCUGCUUUUCCAAUUAAGGUACAAGAGAGAUCAAAAUAAAAAGAGCUUGGAGACAGCUGGUAUGUCCCCUAGCAAAGACAAACCUGAUUUAGCAUUCCUCAAGAAACAAAAAAUAAUAACAAUAAUACGCAUACCUUCUUUUCCUGUAUGCAUUUUCUCCUCAUGAAAAAGGGGCUGGGGUGAUUAUUUUCAGGGUUACGAUGGCGGCAAGAAGAAGCUUUGCAGGAAAGCUGAAUCAUCGGAAUAAUCCCAGGAAACAAUGCUCUGAUGAAUGGGAAAGAAGAUGGCUGCAUUACACGAGGCUCUUGCCUGCACCUUGCCUAAAAAGUCAUUUCCCACCUUGAUGACACCUCAUGUAUCUCAGUAUUUUCUCACAUCCUACAAAGAUAAUGCCUCAGGAAGUCCCCAGGGCUCAUUUUCGGCCUUCUGUGCCAGUACUGUCAGUUUGGUCUUCUGUUCCAUCUGUCCAACCCGAACAGGGGGCUGAAAAUAAGGGCGAUGCACCCAGCUUCCUGCGUUGCCCCAUAUGUUUCCAAAGGCUGUGCAAGCUGGCAAAGCCGUACAGAACGGUCCAUGCUGGCAGUGGGAGGCCGGUGAAGCUGGGAGAAUUGAGGAGGCUCUCAAGGGAGUAGGGAGAAAAAAAAAAAAAGUCCCAAAUGUGGGAGGGAAUCUUGGCAGAAAUGAAAAAGGGGGUUGUUGAGCAAAGCACGCGCUGGCUCCAGCCGCACAGAGCUUGCAAUAUGUUACACUGAGAAUCUGUGGGUGUGUUUAUAAGACCUGCCGCUGACUUGCAUGCACAAAGGAUGUAGCCUCCUCUUAUCUGAAAAAUGUGGGCUUCAGGCUCGCAGAAGAGGGUGAAUGCUUGCAAGACUUCACGUCAAGUCUUCUUUCUGGCUGUGGAGCUCUCGCCCAGCAGAAUGGGCCCACAGCAAGGCUUUGACCGGACCGACUUUGGUUUCUGGCAGGCAAAAGCAGUGUCUUUAAUUGUGGCAGGCUAUAAACUAGUUAGUUCCCCUGCAGUUCCCACAACAAAGCUGCAAUGAGAAUCUGGAUGACUUUCUACAGCACUGGAAAAAUCCCUUGUUCCGAGCAUCUCUUGGGCAUACUAGAAUAUUUCAAGCUAGUUUCACUUUGGCCUCGGCCAGCUCACUGGAAUGAGAACCACAGAGCCACUUCAUGUGAGCAAAUAUUGGCCUUGAUUACUAUUGCAGGCUGAACCCAAAACCAAACAGCGAAUGUGAGGUAAGCUGAGAGGCA